rnacentral:lncRNA from 1 species
CACGACUAUCAUCCUCUGCACGAUCAGCUCGACGCGAUUCUCUUACCCAGCCUUCUUCUACUAUGUUUAGCCUUUCAGAGGUUUCCUUCAGUUCCUUCUUCAACUUCUCUAUCUCCUCGGUCUUAUCUUCAGUUUGAACCUUCUCAUGGACCAAAUCCCAUUCUACGUUUGCCAGUCGAGAGUGAAGAGUCGAAAUCUCCCUCUCCUUCUGCUCUAGAGUAAUAUGCUGAAUAACCGCUCGCUCAGUCAAAUCCUGGACCUCGUCUCGUAACUCCACGUU